UCGCGGAUCAGCAUGCCGCGGUGAAUACGUUCCCGGGCCUUGUACACACCGCCCGUCACACCAUGGGAGUCGGUAACACCCGAAGCCUGUAGUCUAACCGCAAGGAGGACGCAGUCGAAGGUGGGAUUGAUGACUGGGGUGAAGUCGUAACAAGGUAGC
rnacentral:rRNA from 1 species